AUGGAAGAAGAUGAAGGAACGGCAAUUCGUCUCAAUGAAGCCCAUUAUGAACAGAUCCUAAGGGAGGUGUUUCCCCAGGUGACCACCAAGAAGCGCCCACAGAUCCAGGAGCAAGCCACCGCCGUCAGCACCACUAGCACCAUUAUAUUGGUUGAGGAUCAAAUUAAAGAAAUGAUACGCAAGGUCCUUCAGGAGAAAUCCGUGCACAAACCAGGUGCUGAGCUACAGGAAGACAAAUCCAUGAAGAAACCAGGUCCACCUGAGCUGCAGGAAGACAAAUCCAUGAAGAAAAUAGAUACAACUGAUGGUAUACAAAGUCAGCAUUGUAUCUCCGAUGCUCUAAUUGAAGAAACCAUAGCAAAGAUUCAGGAAAUCGAGUGCAUGAUGCAAGACCAGCUCGAGAUGAAAGGAAUCAUGGACAAAAUUGAAGAUUGUUUGACGAGACAAGAUGACAAGAUCCUGGUUAUCCUCAAACUCGAUGCUGACUGGGUAUCCAGAUGGGAGGAGACCAAAAAUGCUUUCAGCAUGUUUGGUCGCAUAGCUGGUGCACUGAUGUUGACAUUCAAAGAUAACAUAGCACGAGCCAAAGAAUAUUGUUGGCCAGUGCGGGAGCCUAUAGACUAUUGUCUUCUUGGCCUCUACCAUGAUACUGCACUUGAGCUUACAAAAAACCACAUGCUUAAAGAUAACUCGAAGAUUUAUCUUGACAUCUUGGACAAGUGUAAGCAACAUGAAUUCUGCAUGAAGAUCUUCAUUCAUGCUUUGCACGCCAACCCCAAGAGGAGCAAUGAAGAGCUAAGCAAGUUGCACAAAGCCCUGCAGCCGGUACCUCAAGCUUCACACACAUCUGCACACAACUCAUUGGACAACAAUAUCAUUGCUAAGAAGAUGUUCAUGUUCUCUUAUAGUGACCUGCCUAAGGAAUACAGGUCCUGCUUGCUAUACCUAGCAAUUUUCCCUCGAAGACAACACAUCAGGCGGUCAACCUUGAUAGGACGGUGGGUUGUAGAGGGGUUGAUAACCAAGCAAGACUGGGCCAGUUCUGUUCGACAUGCCAAUCGAUGUUUUGAUGCGCUAAUUAACCGAUGGCUUGUUUAUCCUGCUGAUAUUGGUGCUACGGGACAAGUGAAGAGCUGUGUGAUAGGUGAUGUAGUUCAUGGAUUCAUAACCAAGAUCGCCAGGAAACAGCGCAUUGUAGAAACACGCCUGUCACACUACUUGGCUCGCCACUUCUCCAUUUUCAACAAUCUCCGAAUCCGUCGCUCUGAUAAAAUCAAUAGAUUCUUUGAAAAGCUCUAUGAAGAAUCAUUUCGAGUAUCCAUUAUCAAGGUGCUAGAUCUAGAAGGUUGUAAAUGCUUUGGUGGUAAGAACCAGCGGUACCUCAAGGACAUUUGCAGGACGAUGUUACUGCUCAAUUAUCUUAGUCUAAGAGGAACAGAUGUUAAACAACUGCCUAGUGAAAUCAACAACCUCCGUGAGCUGGAAGUAUUGGAUAUUCGGGACACCCAUGUGCCUGAGUCUGCAACAGUAAAUGUCCUACCCCUGAAGCUGAAGCGUUUGCUGGCUGGACACGCCGUGCUGAACUCAAGGGAAGGCAAUACUGAAAUAUCUUAUGUUCCUGACAAGAUCGGAAAAAUGUUAAACAUGGAGGUAUUGUCCAAUGUAAAGGCACGAAAUCAUCAAGUUUUGAAAGAUAUUGGAAAGUUGUGGCAGCUGAGGAAGCUUGGUGUGGCUAUUGAAGACAAUGACAAACUCAUUAGGAAUUUGCUUCGAGCUAUCAGUGACCUGCAUGAGUGCCUCAAGUCUCUGUCAAUCACUCUUCCCAUGACUGAGCAAGAUCCUUCCAACGAAGAUUUUUCAAGUACUGUUCUCAAUUAUUAUAAACAACCUCCCAAGCUUCUUCUUGAGAGCCUAAGCAUUACUGGAACCACAAAAAAGGGGAAACUUCUUCAACUGCUGACCAAACAUAGUGACGACUUCCAACUUGCGAAGAUAACUCUAACUGGAACCCGACUGAAGCAGGUUGAUCUGAAGGUCCUCAACAAGCUUCCCAAUAUAGUUUGUCUCAGGCUCCAGGACAAAGCAUACACCGAUGGCAAGCUCACCUUCAAGAAUGACGAAUUCAAAAAUCUCAAGUGCUUUCUUGUUGAGGGCUCCAACAUGACUGACAUCUUGUUUGAAGGUGGGGCCCUUAAGCUCGAGAAGAUCAUUUUAUGCUCCACUGAUGUCAUACAAUCUCUUUCUGGAGUCAAAAACCUUCCAGAACUGAAGGAAGUCGAGUUGAACAACAACAAUAAGCUUUCAUUAUUUGACAAGGCCGAGAAAGUUUCCAAGGUGACUCUUUGUGGUACCAAAUUGAGCAAAGAUGAUCUAACAAUGUUUGCCAAGAUACAGUAUAUGCGCUGCCUAGUGCUGAAGGAGAAAGCUUGUGUUGAAAAUGAGAUUUUGUUCAACAAAGAUGAGUUCCCAAGGCUCAACCUUCUUAUUGUCGACGGUUCAUCCAUCACCAAGAUAGAGUUUGCCAGCGGAUCUGCUCCCAAGCUCGAGAAAAUCAUCUGGUCCUUCACAAGGGGCACGGUGGAGAGUCUCUCCGGCAUUGGCAACCUUCCAAAAUUGAAGGAGCUCGAGUUCAAUGGCGAUUUGAUCCCUGAUGAGUUGAAAGGAGCAAUUAACAAACAUAAAAAUAAACCCAAUCUUAUACACAACAAACCAGAAAACCAAUACCAAGAAAUGCGAAACAUAGAAGAAAUGGGCAAGGCUGCAAGAUUCCCAUCCUGCUGGAAGAGCCAGGAUUGA
rnacentral:rRNA from 1 species